rnacentral:rRNA from 1 species
GACAUGGGUGGCAAACGUUAUCCGGAAUUAUUGGGCGUAAAGCGUGCGUAGGUGGUUUGUUAAGUCUGUUGUGAAAGCCCCGGGCUCAACCUGGGAAUGGCAAUGGAUACUGGCAAGCUAGAGUGCGGUAGAGGGUAGUGGAAUUCCCGGUGUAGCGGUGAAAUGCGUAGAGAUCGGGAGGAACACCAGUGGCGAAGGCGGCUACCUGGACCAGCACUGACACUGAGGCACGAAAGCGUGGGGAGCAAACAGG